CUUUUCUUUCUUGUCUUGAUUAUUGUCAAUUUUUUAAGAUAUGUUGUGUUGUAAUCUUGUUUUUAUGUUGUAAAGUUUUGAUCUUUGAGCUUAAUUGCGUUAUUAUGUGAUCUUAUUGGCAGUUGUGUUUUAAUUAUACUUGAUUUCAAGGGAAUGGUGGAGAAUGGAGAUAUUGUUUUAUGUUGUAAAAGUUUUGAUCUUUAAGCUUAAUUUAUGAUUGUUAUGUGAUUUCAUUGGCUCUUGUCAUUUGAUCACAGAUUAAAAAGAAAAUUUGCAAGUUUGUUUGGUGUGUUUCUUUUCUUUGGAUAUUUGCUAGUGCCAACAUGAUUUAACAAAUGUUAAUAAAAUUUAUUUGAGGUGUUUAGAGAGGCGGAGCCAAGAAUUCUUGUCAGGAACCUGAGUUCAUGAUUCUAGGUACAAUAAAUUGCUAUUUCCAUGAAGAGAUAUUAACGACUGGCUACCAAAGCCGGGAAAGGAAAUAUAAAAGUCAAUUGUGCUGUGUUGUGUCAGCCUGUGGAUGAUUGCUAGUUAGGGGAGCUUUAUACGAUAAGGUUGUGUAUGGCUUCUUCUUUUUUUGCUAUCAAAGUCUUUGGUAAUCGUAAAGUGAUUGUGAAGGGGAGAUGUUAUGAGCACUGGUUCAUUUAGGUUCAAUAUGGCAGGAACAGGGGAUAUUGCAUUGGCCUCAAUUAGGACUCAGGGUGUGUGAAUGGUUAAUUAGCGUUUUGAGUAUAUAGAUCGGAAACUACAGGUUUAGUUACAAUUGCUGCAUAUUUAUAUACAUACAUACACACACAUCUUGAUUAAAAAUUGCAAUUAGCAUAAGAAGAGUGGUAUUGCUGCAUAUUUGUUUACAUACGCACAUGAUGGCUCCCAAAAAUAAACCCGCCAUUACAGCUUGCUGCCCUACGGAACGGUAGCCUUAAUCCUCACGGUCCAGAACGGAAGAUAACCACAGAGCCGAAGGAGGCCUACGGAAGCAAGCAUGUUUCCAGCUUGACACCUGUCAAGCCAGGCGUUGUGUUACACCCACCGUUAGUCAUUCCUUAAUUUCUGGGAUACAUGACACCUAAAAACCUACUUUCAGAUCAUCUGGUCUACCUACUAAUAGGUCUAAAAACAUGUCAUUCCACCCCGAUAAUUAGGAAGGAGUCGGCACCUCUGAUAAUUGACUAUAAAUAGUUAAGAAGCCAUGGAGAUAAAAGGUAAUGUACAAUGUUAUUAAGACACUAAUCUCAAAAAACCUUCUGAUGAUGGCCUUUGAAACCCAGGCGUGAUCCCUACGGCACCCAAAUAGGACAUUAUGGCCAUCAACACACAUCUCGAUUAAACAUGCAAUUAGCAUAACAAGAGUGGUAGACUUGUACGGCUCUGCCAAGAAUCUCAAAAGUUAUGGCAAGUGAAUAAGUGUAGAUUUGUAUUUUCACAUGAACAGCACUGAGGAACAUCAUUGUGUUUCAUCAUUGUUGGGACUCUCACUCGUAGAUAUAUAUACUGUGUUUCUGUUAGGUGGAGAACCUUUGCGGCUUGGCCCCUCUUUUCCUCAAGAAACUCACAUGCUA